ACUACUUUAGUAUAGUUUGAUUAUAUUAACUUUUCGUGUUAAGGACACUAUUUUAUAUAGUAAGUAGUU
rnacentral:tRNA from 4 species